UUUCGUUGGACAAACAAAAGAUAUUCUUCCAAUCCUAUAUAUGAACGACUUGAUAGAUGUUUAGCAAAUGCAGAAUGGUGUGCUCUUUAUCCUGUCACUAAUGUUUAUAAUAUGCCUAUCACUAUUAGUGACCAUGCUCCCAUUCUUGUCUCUACAGAAGGCAAGUUUAAAAAGCCUUUGCAAAAUUUUAAAUUUGAGAAUUGGUGGCUUAUGGAAGAAGAUUUUCAACCUUGUGCAAAAUCUGCUUGGCAAAGCACUGCUCAUAGGCCUUUUUAUGCAAGGACUAACCACCUUGCAGGAACAUUGAAGGAAUGGUGCAGAAAGAAAAAACCAAUUAACCAGGAACUCAAUCUAUUGGAGGAGCAAAUAAAAAAAUAUACAAAUGAAGCCGAUGCAGGAACAAAAUCAUAA
rnacentral:rRNA from 1 species